rnacentral:rRNA from 1 species
GACGAACGCUGGCGGCGUGCUUAACACAUGCAAGUCGAACGGAAAGGCCUGCUUUCCCUUGUGGAUUGCGGGUACUCGAGUGGCGAACGGGUGAGUAACACGUGAGUGAUCUGCCCCCAACUUGGGUAUAAGCCUGGGAAACUGGGUCUAAUUCCCGAUAGGACUGCAGGGUGGUGCCUGUGGUGGAAAACGAUUUUCUAGUGGUUGGGGAUGAGCUCGCGGCCUAUCAGCUUGUUGGUGGGGUAAUGGCCUACCAAGGCGGCGACGGGUAGCCGGCCUGAGAGGGUGGACGGCCACAUUGGGACUGGGAUACGGCCCAGACUCCUACGGGAGGCAGCAGUGGGGAAUAUUGCACAAUGGGCGGAAGCCUGAGGCAGCGACGCCGCGUGGGGGAUGACGGCCUUCGGGUUGUAAACUCCUUUCGACCGCGAGGAAGCCACCUGGUUGGAAGGGUGGUGACGGUAGUGGUAGAAGAAGCACCGGCUAACUACGUG